UGCCUUUAGUUAAUGAAUUGUUCACUCGUGAAUGGUGUUUAUAUCUCUUUGUUAGUUUGAUAAACAAACAUAGGAAUCUGAAAUAAAUUGGAAUUAACAUGUUUUGAUGUUGCAUACUUGCAUCCAUGGAUGUGAGCAGCUAUUGUUUUUUUAACAUGUGGGGUUUUGGGUCGAAAGCAAUUACGGUUUCAUCUAGGCCGAGAAUUGACUCUGCAAGGCCCAGUCAAGCUUCUUCAGACUGCUCUGAUGAUGAGAUCUCGGUAAAUAACAGCAGGGAAGAAGGUUUAGAGUGUGCGAUUUGCUCGGAAUCGUUCAAUAUAGUGGAUGUUGCAUACUUGCUCUAAUGUUUGUUUGGGACAUGUGAUGGUGGGCGACAACUCAAUUUAAAGUGGCAAGAGGGAAGAGGCGAUCUACAGAGGGCUUCUCUUAAUUC